AGGAUGAACGCUGGCGGCGUGCCUAACACAUGCAAGUCGAACGUCCUGUCUCGCAAGAGGCAGGGAGUGGCGGACGGGUGAGUACCACGUGGGUCAUCUACCGUGAGGUGAGGAAUACCGGCGAGAAAUCGCCGACAAGACCGCAUAGGCUCGAUGCAAGUCGAGCAAAGCUCUUUCGAGAGAGGGAGCGCCACACGAGGAGCCUGCGCCCGAUUAGCUAGCUGGUGGAGUAACGGUUCACCAGGGCGACGAUCGGUAGCUGGUCUGAGAGGACGAUCAGCCACACUGGGAUUGAGAACGGCCCAGACUCCUACGGGGGGCAGCAGUGAGGAAUUUUCGUCAAUGGGGGCAACCCUGAACGAGCAACGCCGCGUGCAGGAAGAAGGUUUUCGGACCGUAAACUGCUUUUCUCGGGGAAGAGAACGGACGGUACCCGAGGAAUCAGCCCCGGCUAACUACGUGCCAGCAGCCGC
rnacentral:rRNA from 1 species